GUUUUGAGUUAAGCAGGAAAAAAAGAAAUGGAAGAGAGAAUAUUUCCCUUGCUCUCUGUUUCUUCCUCUCAUUUUAAUGCAUCUCAAGACUAAAACCAUGAUUUUCAACAAAUACUUUUGAAAAUGGAGCUCAUGAAUUGAUGUCAGCAACCAGCAAGGAAAGAAAAAAGAUGUCCUAUCCCAAGGAAUACAAGAGAGUUAUCAAACAUGGCUGUGUCCCUCUUGCCACUUUGAUGCCAAGGGACUCGUCGAGCUGUAAACCCACAUCAUUGUUUGAGAGGCCAUCAAGACCCAAGCAGACCUACGUGCAGUUUCACAAGGCACCCAGUUUUGGAGACAAAGGACAGUGAUGACUCUUGAUGGUUCACAGAGUUGGGACAGGAUGGAGACACUGCUCACUGUCAGCUCCAGAAGGUCUCAAAAACUCCUAUCUAUUACCUGGACGUUGUUGUCAGCCUACAAAGAACCUCAACCUUUGUGACAAAAUCUUGACACCUGCCAUCUCUUGUCCUCCCUGUCAUCAUAACAGAUCCUGGACCUCACAUUUGUGGACAAGAAACCUGAGACACCACAGACGUCCAGAUGCUGAUCCUGAAAUGUGUGGUUCCUUAUCAAGGAAGCAGCUCAUCACUACAUUAAUCCUGUGGCCCUGCACUGAACCUGCAAUCAGCGGAUCGCAUUAUGGGACAGUAGAACAGUUUCUUAUUUCUCUGUGUUAUGGUUCAUUCCAUAUGUGUUAGAUUUCACCAGCCUUUUUGGUUUCUGGUCACUCCAUCAUGGAAGAUUGCUGUGGAAUUCUCUACAGGGGUCCCAGAAGUUACUACCUUUUGGGAGGGGUUAUAUUUACCACAUACCUCUUUAUUUUUUCUUUUUUUCUUUCUAAUAAUAUAUUUGCGUGAUGUCAGAAAUGGCCAGUGACUAACCUGCUUAACAGGAGGUGGAAGUUUUUCCAACAGAUCAAUUGGAUCUAAAGCUUCUUCAGAAAGUGAUCUUUCAGCAAAACCAAGAAUUACCAAGAAUGUUGUAAAAUAGGGAAGGCUAAAACAAGAUAAAAAAUGCAUGUAAGCAAUUACCUGGGGAACAGUCCCAUUGUCCUGAGUCCCAACCACAUUUUUUUAGACUGAUAGAAUCUAUUGAAAACAGAAUGCUGUUUUCAAUAAUAAACAAAUAGACAAGAAUUGAGUUAAAAUAGCU
rnacentral:lncRNA from 1 species